GCGAGAUUAGCACAUCGGUAGUGCACGGGCUUCCCAAGCCUGUGAGGCGGGUUCGACUCCCGUAUCUCGCUCCA
rnacentral:tRNA from 4 species